UACGUAGGGUGGCAAGCGUUGUCCGGAAUUAUUGGGCGUAAAGGGCUCGUAGGCGGUCUGUCGCGUCGGGAGUCGAAAACUCAGGGCUUAACCCUGAGCCUGCUUCCGAUACGGGCAGACUAGAGGUAUGCAGGGGAGAACGGAAUUCCUGGUGUAGCGGUGAAAUGCGCAGAUAUCAGGAGGAACACCGGUGGCGAAGGCGGUUCUCUGGGCAUUACCUGACGCUGAGGAGCGAAAGUGUGGGGAGCGAACAGG
rnacentral:rRNA from 1 species